AUUGAUCGAGGGCGGCAGGCCUAACACAUGCAAGUCGAGCGACCGGCGGACGGGUGAGCAAUGUAUGGUGAUCUGCCCGGUAGAGGGGGAUCACUACUGGAAUUGGUGGCUAAUACCGCAUUCGAUCCGAUGAACCCAUAUGGGAUUAGCUAGUAGGUGGGGUAAAGGCUCACAUAGGCGACGGUCUCUAGCUGGCAUGAGAGGAUGAUCAGCCACACUGGGACUGAGACACGGCCCAGACUCCUACGGGAGGCCGCAGUGGGGAAUAUGGCACAAUGGGCGCAAGCCGGAUGCAGCCAUGCCGCGUGUAUGAGGAAGGCCUUAGGGUUGUAAAGUACUUUCAGCGGGGAGGCGUUACCCGCAGAAGAAGCACCGGCUAACUCCGUGCCAGCAGCCGCGGUAAUAC
rnacentral:rRNA from 1 species